rnacentral:lncRNA from 1 species
ACUCACCAUGUCCGCAGGUGCAGUGAUUGGAGAGCGCUGGCCUGGGGAAGGAGCUGGCUUCUGCCUGGCUGGUUUGGUCCAGAGCACUGGCCUGUUGUACACAUUUGUAACUAACUUGGCUGGGUGUUAUCAGCAGAUUUCAAAUCUGCCUCUCCUCUCUGUGUUCCACUCACUGCUAGAGAUCUCUCUUUUGGGGUUGGCGGGUGGUGUUAAUGAGUCCAUGGACCCAGCUGUUGGAGUUACAGGACUCUGAGAGCCUUGACCAUGUUUGUGGGCACAUCGCUGCACUGCCUAAUUUAUCCUCUUCAGAGUGUGAAGACCGUCAGACCUGAGCUCCCUAUCUUGAUAUUUCUCUGCAAGUCUACCCCUUACCUUUUUCUUCCCUUUUGCUUCAGAGCACAGUUGUUCAGGUCCGUGUUCAAUAAGCACCUACUGUAUGUCGGCAGUGUGGUCGGCACUCAGUGGAUGAGAUCUUCCCUCCCUCCAAAGUUUAUCCUCCCCUGCUGCUCCUGCCCAAGCACCUGAGCAUCCUUUGCACCAGAACAGGAUUGGGAAUCUAGAGCCCAUGGGCCGAAUCUGGUCUGCCACCUGUCUUUGUAAAUAAAGUUUUGUUGGGACACAGUCACGCUUGUUUGUUUAUGCCUCGUCCAUCACAGGUUUUACACUGGGAUGGAGGUUUAGUGUCUGUGAUAGGGACUGCAAAACUGAAAAUAUUUACCCUCUGGCCUUUACAGAGAAAGGCUGGGGAUCCCUGCUGUAGACCCCCCACUGUCCUGCCUCCCCGUUCUCCAAGAUCUCAGGCUGAGAAUUGUUGCUGUCCAUUUCCAUGGGCUCCGUUCUCUUUGGUCCACCUGAGAGGCCGAGGGGGUCUGUCUCCCCAGGCACUGAUGGCCGUCCUGCUGGGGCCUGGGAGGGUACCGCACAG